GAUGAAGAACGUGGCGAAAUGCGAUACGUAGUGUGAAGUGCAGAAUUCAGUGAAUCAUCGAAUCUUUGAACGCACAUUGCACCUCUCGGUAUUCCGGGAGGUAUGCCUGUUCGAGCGUCAUUUGUACCCUCAAGCUCUGCUUGGUGUUGGGUGUUUGUUCCGCCUCUGUGUGUGAACUCGCCUCAAAACAAUUGGCAGCCGGCGUACUUGUUUCGGAGCGCAGCACAUUUUGCGAUCCAGAUCAACGUACAGCGGCAUCCAAGAAGCCUUAUUUAACGCUCUUGACCUCGGAUCAGGUAGGGAUACCCGCUGAACUUAAGCAUAUCAAUAAGCGGAGGA
rnacentral:misc_RNA from 1 species